GAUCGGAGCCUGGAGCCGGUGUGUGCUGGGUGCCGAGAAGAGACAGCGCCGCCGGCCGUGGGGAGCGGACGCAGUGAUUUGCUCCCCCUCGUGCAGCAACCCCCACACCCAGCACCAGGCCCCCAGAACUCUCCUUCCAGCUGAACUCCCUGGGAACAAGUCAGUUGGGCUGAUCACUGAACUCACAUUUCUGGACCUGAGGAGCCUGUUCCUCUCACGCCCUCACCUGGCUGAGCCGCAGUAGUUCUUCAGUGGCAAGCUUUAUGUCCUGACCCAGCUAAAGCUGCCAGUUGAAGAACUGUUGCCCUCUGCCCCUGGCUUCGAGGAGGAGGAGGAGCUGCUUUCCCCAUCAUCUGGAAGGUGACAGAAAUGGGCUGGGAAGGUCCGAACAGCAGGGUGGAUGAUACGUUUUGGGCAAGUUGGAGAGCCUUUGCCCAGAUUGGCCCAGCAAGGAGCGGUUUUAGAUUAGAGACACUGGCUGGAUUGAGGAGUAGAAGGCUCAAACAACCCAAGCCCUGAUCCAUUCUCACCUAGCGGCUACAGGAAGCUGUGUCUGUUCGAUUUGGUGGGAGGAGAUGUGCAGGGAGCUGUAUCUUGUCCUCCGCUUGUGAAAAACUCAAGGAUGUGGAGAAGAGUAGACCGUGGAACCCUGCUCUUCUGCAGCCAAGCUGAGGGGCAGGAUGCGUGUGGGACAGUGGUAGAGAAGCAGGGGAUAGACUCAUAGGCUGCAACAAAGGUGACUCUGUCCCUGGACACUGCCUCCGUACUUUCUCCUUGCUUCACUGGCCACAGCAUCUCCCUCCAGCCCUCGCUAUGUGCCUCUGCCAUCUUCACCCAUCAUGGAGCAGAGGUGAGGAGAGGCAGCCUGGGAAUAUGGAGACCAGUGAAGGACCAGGCCUGGAGAGCACAGGGUCCUACCUGGGCAUCCAGCAGAGGAGCCCCUAAAGGCCAGGAGCACCCCAAGAGGAGGGAGGGCAGCCAGCCUCCAUUGACGGCGAGCCUCCAGCCCUCUCCUACUUUGAUCACCAUUUCUCUCCAGGCUUUCUGCCUCCGAGAUGUGGCACCAUAGUGCGGUGCCCUGUGGCUUCACCGCCCUACUUCCACCUCCGCCCAGCCUGUAAUGUUUAUAUAAGCAGCCUCAAGGACCAAGAACCAUCUGCGAAAGGACACACACAGGAAAUUCAUAAAAGAAAUCUGAAUGGAUAAAACCAUGAAAAAAAGUAUGCUUCAUUAGUAAUUAAAGAAAGGCAAAUAGAGCUGGAAGCAUUUUUCCCUUAGCAAACCAUAACAGAAAAAAAUAAGACCCAAUAUUGGCAAAGAGACUACUGAAAAAACAUUCCCAUACAUUGCGUGUGGGAGUAUACAUCGGUGCAGGCUUCCUGGAUGACAGUUGGGUGAUAUGUGUCAUGUGGCCUAAAAGCCUCCAUGUCAUUUGACCUACGAAUUCUAUCUUUGGGAAUUUAUCCUAAGAAAAUACUUAAGGAUUUAGUUAGUGAUAAGAUGUUCAUCCCAGCAUUGCAAUGGAGAAAAAUGGGAAGCAAUGGUUUGGUUGGGAAUUUAUUCCUUUUCUGCUGUAACGAAAGUUUGCAAUAGGGGAUUGCUUAAGUAAAUUAUUGUAUCUCCAUCCAGAUGGUGGAGUACCGCGCAGACAUUAAAAGUCAUGUAAAAGAACAUCUGACUGAAAGAAAAAUGCUCCUUGAAUAUUAAAAGGUUGUAAAAAUAGUGCAUGUUAUGUGAUUUCAAUUUUGUUUUUUAAAAUAUGGGUGUAUGCUUGUAUACGUAGAGCAGAUAAAAAAGACGGAAGGCAUACUAAAAAAUGUUGAGUGGUUAUCUUUGUAUGGUGGAACAAAGUCACUGUAAUUUUCAUCUUUGGUUUUUCUGUAAUUUCCAAAUUUUCCACAUUUUGUAUUUCAUAUAAUA
ensembl:lncRNA MIR22HG MIR22 host gene